CGGUAACAGGAAGCAGCUUGCUGCUUCGCUGACGAGUGGCGGACGGGUGAGUAAUGUCUGGGAAACUGCCUGAUGGAGGGGGAUAACUACUGGAAACGGUGGCUAAUACCGCAUAACGUCGCAAGACCAAAGAGGGGGACCUUCGGGCCUCUUGCCAUCAGAUGUGCCCAGAUGGGAUUAGCUUGUUGGUGAGGUAACGGCUCACCAAGGCGACGAUCCCUAGCUGGUCUGAGAGGAUGACCAGCCACACUGGAACUGAGACACGGUCCAGACUCCUACGGGAGGCAGCAGUGGGGAAUAUUGCACAAUGGGCGCAAGCCUGAUGCAGCCAUGCCGCGUGUAUGAAGAAGGCCUUCGGGUUGUAAAGUACUUUCAGCGGGGAGGAAGGUGUUG
rnacentral:rRNA from 1 species